UAAUUGAUUCUUGUUUUGCUUGGUCUUAAAAUUCAGUUUCCCUUCAAUUAGUUGAGCAUAAUGAGUUGAUUAUGCAGAAAGUUUAGGCUAAUGUUCCAAUAUUGGAUGAAUUUACAAAUUAGGGUUUGAUAUUUGUGGUUUUCUAGUUCAAUUGUUAGUUUAUAAUUGAUUCUUUUUUGUUUUUGUUCUGGCCGGGGAUGGGGAUUGGGUGGAUGGGGUCUUCUUUUAUUACUGCUUUUUUUGUAUGAUGAGAUGAUGGUAGUUGUGGGAUUGACUUAUCUUACUUUCAUUGGCCAACUCGGUUGGGUUCUUGAUACUAUCGUCUCCCUUUGGGUAACACUCCUCAAACUACUCUACUUGUUUCAAUCUUCUAUUUCAAACUUUGUUUGUCCAUUAUUUUGGGUUUAGGAUUGUUGUUUUGAUGUUAAUCUGUCUGAUGAGUAUUUGAUAGUUUGUGUCAGCGAGUUAGCGGUUUUGUUGUUCGUUUGCGUGAGAUUGAUCAUUAUCGGAUAUGAAUUUCACUUGCGUGACCCGCGUUGACAAACAAAGUCAUUCUUAGUGGUUAUGAACUUAUGUGCUUGUAUAUGUUCAGAAUAAGGUGAUCAUUGACUAGAACUGAUGCUGCCAGGAAAGUUUUGUAAUCCUACCAGUCUAGAGUAUAUUAGAUUUCAUACAGAAAAGAGAAGGUUUUGACUUUUCAUUGAUUUUGUUCCUUAACCACUUAUGUACACUUUAAGAUGGUUGUUAUGGUCCAUUCGGGAUAUUAGGUAUGCUGUAUUGCUGGAUUGAGGUUGAUUGCAUGUGCAACACAGUUAUCCUUUUUAAGGCACUAAACUAAAGUUAUGUGCCUUGCUAUAUGCAGUUUUUGGCUAUGAGCCUCAUUCGGUGUUGCCAAUUGGUGUUGUUUCUCUUGCUGAUCUUACAGUUUUUCUUCCUUUCUCGAAAAUUAACGUCUUUGCUAGUACUGUUGUAAGUCCUACAUGCCUAAGUCCUAAAUUUUCUGACCUCCUAUUUUUCUCUCUUAUCAUUAGUCUUACCUCUUUCUGAUGGCUAGAUAUUCUACACUCCUUUUUUGAGGCAUAUAUGGACAUGGUUGGGUCUAUCUCCAGCAACUAGAAAGAAUUUUAAAUCUCGUCUGGCUUCAGGUUACAGUUGUAUCAUAGUGCCUGGUGGAGUACAAGAGACGUUCCAUAUGGAGCAUGGCUCUGAGCUUGUUUUGAGUACUGGAAGCGGUGUUAAUGGUUUCACUCUAGAUCCAUCUCUUGGAGUGUAUAUUUUAACUCAUCCAGACAUCAAGGGAUCGAGUCGAUUGGAAGAAAGUCAACACGGCCUUAAUUAAGGUUUGUAAUGCAUGAUCUAAAGGGAGCUAAGUGGCCAGAUUAGAGAAAUUUGUUAGACUAGCUCUCUAGCCUUUUGUCUUUAUUUGUUAAUAUUAGUUUUAAUUUGUUAGACUAGCUAGCUAGGUGUUUAAAAAUUGUAAACGUACGUACUAUACGCUUUUCUCUAUUGGGUUAAUAUAAAUGAAGUUAAUUUAAUGAUUUAUUAAUAAAAAAUAA